rnacentral:rRNA from 1 species
UUUCUCGAAAAUAAAAGAUCUAUAAUAUUUUGUUGUUCUUUGUAUCAAUAAGGUCAAUAAAAGUAUUAUAGGGGUGAAACGUUAAACGGUUUUAUUAAUAUCUAGUAAUCUCAGAAAUAAAUUUAGUUUAGGAAAAUAAGAUAAUUUUUUUAUUUAAUUUUUUCUUAAAUUCUAGGGGAUGAGCUCUAGAAUUAAAUUACAAAGAAAGUUAAAAAUAUUUUUAUAAUAGGCUUAGAAUUAGCCAUGAAAAAUUGUUAUAAAAUAUUAAGUUAAAGACAUAUGAUUUUUUUACUUUUAGUUUUUUAUGGGAUUAUUAAUGUAAUGAAGUAUAAUGAGAAAAUAUGAUAAUAUUAGUAGAUUAAAUUUUGAAUGAUUCUUAAUUAUUUUUAUAAAAUUGUAUGAUAAAAGAACUCGGCAAGUAUGAUUUCCGAAUGUUUAACAAAAACAUUUCCUCUUAGUUUUGGAGGUAAAGCCUGCUCACUGAAUAAUUAAAGAGCCGCAGUAUUUUGACUGUGCUAAGGUAGCAUAAUCAUUAGUCUUUUAAUUGAGGACUGGUAUGAAUGGCUAAACGAGAAAUUUCCUUUUUUUAUCGUAUAUAUAGAAUUUAUUUUUUUAGUGAAAAAACUUAAAUGUUCCUGAAAGACGAGAAGACCCUAUAGAGUUUUAUAUGGUAAGUUAUCACGUUGUAUUUGGUUUUUAUCGAUGUGGUUAUAUGCCAUAAUUUGUUGGGGCGACAUUAAGAUAAAAAAAACUCUUUUUUAAAUAAACUUUAAUGAAUGAAUAGUUUGAUCCUUAAAAAAAGAUAAUAAGAAAAAUUACCUUAGGGAUAACAGCGUAAUCUUUUUUGAGAGUUCUUAUCGACAAAAAGGUUUGCGACCU